UAACCUUCAACUUUGUCAUAAAAAGGUACAACUAUGUGAUAUUUUACUUUUUGAAAUUUACACACAGUCAUAAGGGUCUAUAAUAUCAUUCAGUGAUUGAUUCAUUGAUUUAUGUUUAUUUGUUUGUUCAAAAAUGUUGUUUUUUCACAGAUCAUAAACUAAAUCUAAAAUCAGCUCUCUCAUUGCUGCAGUAUGUGCGGAUGUUUGUGCGAUUCAGGGAUUGUAGAACACAUUUAAAAUUAUUAUGGCUCAUUUGAUACAAAACUGCUUCAGAUUUGCCAUCUUUGAUAUUUCUGACUGCUCUUUACACCACACCGACUAAAAAAAGCCAUUAGAUGGUCUCAGCAUAGCCUGUCCCGCUCUCCACGGGUGAACAAAACCUGCAAUUUCCUUUUAUCAAAAAGAAAAAACUAAAUUGCCGAACUCAGCAUCACCUCUCAAUCCACUUCUGGGCCGUCACCAAAAACCGCGGAGCAUGCAGCGGGAGUGAUUUCAGCAAGCACUUACACUCUUCCUCUCCUGCUUUGUACGAUUGGCUAAAUUGGUGAUACUGGCUUUGGUGGCACUGUAACAGAAGCCCUCAUUGUCAUCCUUCAGCUGCUGAGCCAUUGUUGGAUCCGCGUGUCAUGGUUGUCCUCACUUAACUGAACACUUUGCACGUAACAGCAGAUGGCGUGGCUAUUACAUAUCACCUUAUUUACCACUGUGAGACAUGCGGACUCCCGUCAAGGCAAACCACCACAUGUUUGAAUCUAGGCUGGGGUCGUUUCCCAAUCCCACCCAACCCUCUCCCAUGUGUCCCAGUCUCUCACUGUUCAGUCCCAAUCAAGGCAAAACACCCGUGGACAUAGUUGGCGUUUCUGCAACAUUUUAAAAGUAUUAUUUUGUUCCAGUGUUAAAAUAUUGACAGAUGUUUUGUGUGUUGUCGUUCCAGAGUGGUGAGUGGAAGGAGAGAGUCCUGCCUUCCCCCCUCCCUGCCCAUUCCAUCAUCCGCAGAGCAUCUUUCAUGCGUCUCCCUGGGCCCCAAUCCCACAUCAGGAUGAACUGUGAGCAGGAUUUUGGAGAUGGAGGCAUGAACGUCACUCUAACUCUCCGGCUGCUCAUGCACGGCAAGGAGGUCGGCAGCAUCAUAGGCAAGAAAGGAGAGACUGUGAAAAGGAUACGAGAGGAGGUAAGCUACAAGCUACUCGUAAAUGUUAUCUUUAGGGCCUUUCGCACCGCAGGAACCUUUUCAUAGUACCAGAACUAAUUGUGGAACUACCCACUUUUGGGCGUUUUUAGUACUGGACUGCCUUUUUUGAGAACCAAAUUAGCUUCUACUCCAGAUCAAGGUCUAACCAGCACAACUGGUGCUACCCGUGACGUAAAUAGACAUUGAUUGGCCACGCAUGUUCGAAAAUGCCCUCACCCGCCAUGAAUGCCGUGUAAACAUACUGUAAACAUUGUGUCAACUUAUUUCGCUGAUGCUGAAGUGCAGGCACUUGCAGCAAAUGUAGCACUGCCAGUUGUCGUUGGAGGUUCUUAGUCCUCCUUUCCGUUCUCUCAAUCGCUUUACGUAUACGUCGACAUUCCAUGUCCAUUAUUGUGAAACUCACGAGACACAACAAAAACACAGCUCCGAUCAUAGCAUCCUCCAUCCUCCUGUUGUUAACAUUGUUGUUCUUUUUUUUCAUUGUUGAAAGCCGCGCACAAAUGACAUCACUGUCGACCGGCUUACGUCACGUCCUAGUACACACUCUUGGUGCGAAUGCAACCCUUUAAAUGGUACUAAGAAACAGUUCACGCAAAAUCGUCCCAGUACUUUAGUACUGUACAUUUAGUUCUGGAACUAAAGUGGUACGAAAUGCCCUUUUCUCAACUUCCCAGCAUGCAUCAUGCAUGCAGGACAGACAGUUUCCUUUGAACCUAGCGCAAUGCUACACCACAUGGAUUUUUACACAUAAAUGUGGUUAAAUGCUGGAAAAAAAAACACCGAAAUGCCCUUACAUCUUACAUAUUUCCUCAAACCAGUUAAUGUCCGCCACAUUAAUGCUGAAAGACUGCAGAUGCCAUAAAUAUUUAAAUUAAACCUUUCAUCUCACAGCGAACACUAAUUCAUUAGUUUGAUAUGAAUGCGUUGGUAUUUUCAAGGUAGUUGCUAAUAACAAUAGCUUAAAAGUAGGUUACCAAGGAGAAAAACCCAGGAGUGGGUGAGUGUGUCCUUCUGAGAAUAUAUGUAGUGUGUAUGUAUAUAUAUAUAUUA
rnacentral:lncRNA from 1 species